AGAGUUUGAUCAUGGCUCAGAACUAACGCUGGCGGCGUGGCUUAGGCAUGCAAGUCGAACGAUCCCCGCAAGGGGAUAGUGGCGCAAGGGUGAGUAAUACAUGGGUGAUUUACCCUCAAAUUGGGGAUAACUCUGCGAAAGCGGAGCUAAUACCGAAUAAUAUUAUACGGUUCGCCGUAUGAUCAAAGAUGGCCUCUAUUUAUAAGCUAUCGUUUGUGGAUAAGCCCAUGCUCUAUCAGCUUGUUGGUGAGGUAAUGGCUCACCAAGGCAAUGACGGAUAGCCGGUCUGAGAGGAUGUACGGCCACACUGGAACUGAGAUACUGUCCAGACUCCUACGGGAGGCUGCAGUCGAGAAUCUUUUGCAAUGGGCGAAAGCCUGACAAAGCAACGCCGCGUGAGCGAUGAAAGUUUUCGGAUUGUAAAGCUCUGUCACCUGGAACGAAAAGUCUAAUGCUAAUAUCAUUGGACCUUGACGGUACCAGGAGAGGAAGCCCCGGCUAACUCCGUGCCAGCAGCCGCGGUAAUACGGAGGGGGCAAGCGUUGUUCGGAUUUACUGGGCGUAAAGGAUGCGUAGGUGGUUAUAACAGUCGGAUGUGAAAGCCCUCGGCUCAACCGAGGAAUUGCAUUCGAAACUAUAUAGCUAGAGUAUGGAGGGAGAGAGUGGAAUUCUCAGUGUAGCGGUGAAAUGCGUAGAUAUUGAGAAGAACACCAGUGGCGAAAGCGGCUCUCUACUCUGAUACUGACACUGAGGCAUGACAGUUAGGGGAGCGAACAGGGUUAGAUACCCUGGUAGUCCUAACAGUAAACGAUGUGCACUAGGUGUAGGUGGUAUCGACCCCACCUGUGCCGAAGCUAACGCAUUAAGUGCACCGCCUGGGGAGUACGGUCGCAAGAUUAAAACUCAAAGGAAUUGACGGGGGCCCGCACAAGCGGUGGAGCAUGUGGUUUAAUACGACGCAACGCGUAGAACCUUACCAGGGCUUGACAUGUACAUGAAAUUUUUGUGAAAGCAGAAGCCUCCUUCGGGACAUGUACACAGGUGUUGCAUGGCUGUCGUCAGCUCGUGUCGUGAGAUGUUGGGUUAAGUCCCGCAACGAGCGCAACCCUCGUUCAUAGUUACCAUCAUUAAGUUGGGGACUCUAUGGAGACUGCCCCGGUUAACGGGGAGGAAGGUGAGGAUGACGUCAAGUCAUUAUGGCCCUUACGCCCUGGGCUACACACGUGCUACAAUGGCCGGUACAAUGGGACGCCAAACCGUAAGGUGGAGCAAAUCCCUUAAAACCGGCCCCAGUUCAGAUUGAGGGCUGCAACUCGCCCUCAUGAAGUUGGAAUCGCUAGUAAUGGCGGAUCAGCUACGCCGCCGUGAAUACGUUCCCGGGCCUUGUACACACCGCCCGUCACACCACGAGAGUCGAUUGUACCCGAAGUCAUUUUAGCUAACCUGUAAAGGAAGCGGAUGCCGAAGGUAUGGUUGGCGAUUAGGGUGAAGUCGUAACAAGGUA
rnacentral:rRNA from 1 species